UACGAAGGGGGCGAGCGUUGUUCGGAAUCACUGGGCGUAAAGCGCACGUAGGCGGCGCGUUAAGUCAGGGGUGAAAUCCUGGAGCUCAACUCCAGAACUGCCUUUGAUACUGGCGUGCUCGAGUGUGGGAGAGGUUGGUGGAACUCCGAGUGUAGAGGUGAAAUUCGUAGAUAUUCGGAAGAACACCAGUGGCGAAGGCGGCCAACUGGCCCAUUACUGACGCUGAGACGCGAAAGCGUGGGGAUCGAACAGG
rnacentral:rRNA from 1 species